rnacentral:rRNA from 1 species
GGGUUCGAUCCUGGCUCAGAUUGAACGCUGGCGGGAUGCUUUACAUGCAAGUCGAACAGCAGCACGGACUUCGGUCUGGUGGCGAGUGGCGAACGCGGGUGAGUAAUGUAUCGGAACGUGCCCAUGGCGGGGGAUAACCGCGGCGCGCUAAUACCACAUACGCCCUUCGGAAAGCGGGGGACCUUCGGGCCUCGCACUAUUAGAGCGGCCGAUAUCGGAUUAGCUAGUUGGUGGAGUAAGCUCUGUAAGGCGACGAUCCGUAGCUGGUUUGAGGACGACCAGCCACACUGGGACUGGGCAGACUCCUACAGGAGGCAGCAGUGGGGAAUUUUGGACAAUGGAAACCUGAUCCAGCCAUCCCGCGUGUGCGAUGAAGGCCUUCGGGUUGUAAAGCACUUUUGGCAGGAAAAAAACGGCAGGAUAAUACCCCGUGCAACUGACGAUACCAGAAUAAGCACCGGCUAACUACGUUACCGCUGUCGCGGUAAUACGUAGGAAUUUCAAGCGUUAAUCGGAAUUACUGGGCGUAAAGCGUGCGCAGAGCGGUUCCGGAAAGAAAGAUGUGAAAUCCCAGAGCUUAACUUUGGAGCUGCAUUUUUAACUGCCGAGUAGAGUGUGUCAGAGGAGGUGGAAUUCCACAAAUGUGAAGUGAAAUGCGUAGAUAUGCGGAGGAACACCGAUGGCGAAGGCAGCCUCCUGGGAUAACGCGGCGUUCAUGCGAAAGCGUGCGGGAGCAAACGGGAUUAGAUGCCUGGUAGUCCGCCUAAACGAUGUCAACUGACUGUUGGGGCCUUCAGGCCUUGGUAGCGCAACUAACGCGUGAAGUUGACCGCCUGGGAAGCCUGCAGUCGCAAGAUUAAAACUCAAAGGAAUUGACGAGGACCCGCACAAGCGGUGGAUGAUGUGGAUUAAUUCGAUGCAACGCGAAAACCUUACCUACCCUUAAGCAUGUCUGGAAUCCCGAAAGAGAUUUGGGAGUGCUCGCAAGAGAACCGGAACACAGGUGCUGCAUAGCUGUCGUCAGCUCGUGUCGUGAGAUGUUGGGUUAAGUCCCACCGGCGAGCAUAACCCCUUGUCAUUAGUUGCUACGAAAGGGCACUCUAAUGAGACUGCCGACAAACCGGAGGAAGGUGGGGAUGACGUCAAGUCCUCAUGGCCCUUAUAGGUGGGGCUUCACGUCAUACAAUGGUCGGGACAGAGGGUCGCCAACCCGCGAGGGGAGCCAAUCCGAAGCGAUCGUAGUCCGGAUCGCAGUCUGCAACUCGACUGCGUGAAGUCGGAAUCGCUAGUAAUCGCGGAUCAGCAUGUCGCGGUGAAUACGUUUCCCGGGUCUUGUACACACACCGCCCCGUCACACCAUGGGGUGGGUUUUGCAAGAAGUAGUUAGCCUAACCGUAAGGAGGACGAUUACUACGGUAGGUUCAUGACUGGGAAUUUAAGUCAUGUAAAGGUAACUCUGUUACAGUGCUACAG